rnacentral:rRNA from 1 species
GACGAACGNCUGGCGGCCCGUUCUAACACAUGCAAGUCGAACGAGCGAGAGAGAGCUUGCUCUCUCAAGCGAGUGGCGAACGGGUGAGUAACGCGUGAGGAACCUGCCUCAAAGAGGGGGACAACAGUUGGAAACGACUGCUAAUACCGCAUAAGCCCACGACCCGGCAUCGGGUUGAGGGAAAAGGAGCAAUCCGCUUUGAGAUGGCCUCGCGUCCGAUUAGCUGGUUGGUGAGGUAACGGCCCACCAAGGCGACGAUCGGUAGCCGGACUGAGAGGUUGAACGGCCACAUUGGGACUGAGACACGGCCCAGACUCCUACGGGAGGCAGCAGUGGGGAAUAUUGCACAAUGGGGGAAACCCUGAUGCAGCGACGCCGCGUGGAGGAAGAAGGUCUUCGGAUUGUAAACUCCUGUUGUUGAGGAAGAUAAUGACGGUACUCAACAAGGAAGUGACGGCUAACUACGUGCCAGCAGCCGCGGUAAAACGUAGGUCACAAGCGUUGUCCGGAAUUACUGGGUGUAAAGGGAGCGCAGGCGGGAAGACAAGUUGGAAGUGAAAUCUAUGGGCUCAACCCAUAAACUGCUUUCAAAACUGUUUUUCUUGAGUAGUGCAGAGGUAGGCGGAAUUCCCGGUGUAGCGGUGGAAUGCGUAGAUAUCGGGAGGAACACCAGUGGCGAAGGCGGCCUACUGGGCACCAACUGACGCUGAGGCUCGAAAGUGUGGGUAGCAAACAGG